rnacentral:rRNA from 1 species
GAACGAACGCUGGCGGCAUGCCUAAUACAUGCAAGUCGAACGAGAUCCUUCGGGGUCUAGUGGCGCACGGGUGCGUAACGCGUGGGAAUCUGCCCUUGGGUUCGGAAUAACAUCGGGAAACUGAUGCUAAUACCGGAUGAUGACGAAAGUCCAAAGAUUUAUCGCCCAGGGAUGAGCCCGCGUAGGAUUAGCUAGUUGGUGGGGUAAAGGCCUACCAAGGCGACGAUCCUUAGCUGGUCUGAGAGGAUGAUCAGCCACACUGGGACUGAGACACGGCCCAGACUCCUACGGGAGGCAGCAGUAGGGAAUAUUGGACAAUGGGGGCAACCCUGAUCCAGCAAUGCCGCGUGAGUGAUGAAGGCCUUAGGGUUGUAAAGCUCUUUUACCCGGGAUGAUAAUGACANACCGGGAGAAUAAGCCCC